UAUGGGAGAGUCCUAGGCCUUCUCAAAAUCUUUAAAAGGAGGGUCUUGUUUUACAUUCACAGCUGGAGCAAUGGAGGCAGGGACAUCGUCUGAGAAGUGUCUGUGGGAGAGCCAGGGAGUCAGUGUGAGGCCAAAGGGAAGUCUGAGGUCCUGUCAGCCCCUUUCUCUGUCUGAUCAGAUUGGAGUCUGAAGUCUCCAGAUCCGAACCUCUGGCACAGCAUGGCACUUAAGAGUACCGUUUCUCCCCAGGUGUGACACCUACCCAUUGUACCCCCUAGACCCAGUCCUCCCAGUAAUCCAGUUGAAGCCAGCCGGCAGUUAGGCGAUCUGGGAACAGGCUGGGCUGGAAAGUGCCCAUUUCCCGGUGUGCUGUGUGAAAGUCUCUAAACUCAGUCAGUGCGUCUGACUUUAAAAAGUGAGUCCACUGCAUCACCUGUACCAACCAGUGCCACCUCCCCUUUGCUGACCAUCUUGGACCUAACCUCCUUCCCACUGGCCACUCCAGGACUUCCAUCAGUGCCAACGGAUCAAGAGGCAGCGUCGAGUCGCGUACAGAAAGAAACAGAAACUGGGGUCCUAGAUGUCUUUGACAUGCUUUCUUCUCUCAGAGUGUUGGCUUCCAACCUGGAGAAUUCAAGCAGAAUAGGAAAAUGGAGAUCUGAGGCAAAGAAGAAAAACUGUGAGCAUCUGCUCUUCCUGAUGAUAAAUACAUGGCAUCUGUUAUAGCCUUUCUGUAUGAUUACUAUUUAAUAAUUUAAA